GACACUUAAUACCUACUUGCAGGUUAUUUUGAAGAUGAGAGAUUAUGUGUGCAUGGUGCCUACCAGAGCUCAGUACAUAGUGAUUCUAACGCACAACGAUGUUUGACACCACUGCUCUAGAAAAAGCUCUGCUACCCCUGAAGUACUCCGACCUGAAUUCGUUUCCUGACACUUACUCAUUUGACAGUUAACAUGUAUUUGUUGAGCAACUACUGUGUGUCAUGUACUGUGCCAAAGGCUGGAUGGCUAAAAUAGACACGAUCCCUUCC